rnacentral:rRNA from 1 species
CCUACGGGAGGCAGCAGUGAGGAAUAUUGGUCAAUGGGCGAGAGCCUGAACCAGCCAAGUCGCGUGAAGGAUGAAGGAUCUAUGGUUUGUAAACUUCUUUUAUAUGGGAAUAAAGUGAGGAGCGUGUUCCGUUUUGUAUGUACCCUAUGAAUAAGCAUCGGCUAACUCCGUGCCAGCAGCCGCGGUAAUACGGAGGAUGCGAGCGUUGUCCGGAUUUCUUGGGUGUAAAGGGUGCGUAGGUGGUUAAUUAAGUCAGCGGUGAAAGGUUGUGGCUCAACCAUGACAUUACCGUUGAAACUGGUUGACUUGAGUAUAUGAGAGGUAGACGGAAUGCGUGGUGUAGCGGUGAAAUGCAUAGAUAUCACGCAGAACACCGAUUGCGAAGGCAGUUUACUAGACUAUAACUGACACUGAGGCACGAAAGCGUGGGGAGCAAACAGGAUUAGAUACCCCGGUAGUC